CGAAAGCCUGACGGAGCAAGACCGCGUGAGGGAGGAAGGCUCUUGGGUUGUAAACCUCUUUUCUCAGGGAAGAAGCUCUGACGGUACCAAAGGAAUCAGCCUCGGCUAACUCCGUGCCAGCAGCCGCGGUAAUACGGAGGAGGCAAGCGUUAUCCGGAAUUAUUGGGCGUAAAGCGUCCGCAGGUGGCGAUUCAAGUCUGCUGUCAAAACCCAGGGCUCAACUCUGGUCAGGCAGUGGAAACUACAUAGCUAGAGUGCGGUAGGGGCAAAGGGAAUUCCCGGUGUAGCGGUGAAAUGCGUAGAGAUCGGGAAGAACAUCGGUGGCGAAAGCGCUUUGCUAGACCGAAACUGACACUCAGGGACGAAAGCUAAGGGAGCG
rnacentral:rRNA from 1 species